AGAGUUUGAUCAUGGCUCAGAACGAACGCUGGCGGCAGGCCUAACACAUGCAAGUCGAGCGGCACCUUCGGGUGUAGCGGCGGACGGGUUAGUAACGCGUGGGAACGUACCCUUCUCUACGGAAUAGCCUCGGGAAACUGAGAGUAAUACCGUAUACGCCCUUCGGGGGAAAGAUUUAUCGGGGAAGGAUCGGCCCGCGUCUGAUUAGAUAGUUGGUGGGGUAAUGGCCUACCAAGUCUACGAUCAGUAGCUGGUUUUAGAGGAUGAUCAGCAACACUGGGACUGAGACACGGCCCAGACUCCUACGGGAGGCAGCAGUGGGGAAUCUUAGACAAUGGGCGCAAGCCUGAUCUAGCCAUGCCGCGUGAGUGAUGAAGGCCUUAGGGUCGUAAAGCUCUUUCGCCAGAGAUGAUAAUGACAGUAUCUGGUAAAGAAACCCCGGCUAACUCCGUGCCAGCAGCCGCGGUAAUACGGAGGGGGUUAGCGUUGUUCGGAAUUACUGGGCGUAAAGCGCACGUAGGCGGAUCAGAAAGUUGGGGGUGAAAUCCCAGGGCUCAACCCUGGAACGGCCUCCAAAACUCCUGGUCUUGA
rnacentral:rRNA from 1 species